GGAGCGCAGGACGGCGCGCCGGCACUUCACUGUGGGCCAUGGAACGAGCUGCAGUCAUCAUGCUUCUCGUCCUGCAGCUCUGCGCUGGCCUUGUUCACAGAACACUGCACACUGGCAGUUUCAGUAACAUUACAUCAACUGGGCUGUUAGGUGGCCUGGCCUUCCUGCUUCAGGCAUAGUCAAGUCUCCACAAUGUGACUUUUACAGACAUCUGUUCAUUUUUCAUCACUGAGCAAAGCUGGAAAUCUUGACACUUGUCGAUAUUGCAUUCCUGGGACACAAUUGGCCUGCAAGUGGCCCACUGUGACGUCGACUGAAUUAAGACUUGCGCUUGGCGGCCGAACUUCCCAGAUAGGGGCCUCCCGGCCAACGAUGCCUUACGCCCAUUUCAUUUUUUUCCUGGGACACACAAUUCAGCCACUUACAUUAGAGCAGUUAUGGAAAAUACAAGUGAAACAAAUGGAUGCUAUGUUCUCACACAAGAUACUGAUGUCUGGAGACAGUCAGUGCAUGGAAUUUGAGAUUUAGACCUUACGAUUUGUGACUACCCUGGCACCAAGGCAGCUAACUACCUAUGCUCCUGCCACACAAGAUGAUGACUGGUACGUACAGUAGUAUAAAAAACUAAUUAAGUAGCUUCAUUAAUUAUCUGCAUUAUUAAAUGUUUGUAGUGAAGGACAUUCAGGAAGUAUAUGCCAUGAAAUAAAUCCUGUUUAUGUAAUUAAUUUUACAUUUUUUUGUGACUUAUGUUUUGUUCAUCUCAUGAUGUACACCUGAAAACCACUUGGUUCAUAUGAAGGAAACAUAUUAAAAAUUUGUAUUAUAUUUGCUGUAAUAUAUGUAAUAUAACACCAAAAUGAUAUUUCUGUGAAUAAACA